UACGGGGGGGGUAAGCGUUGUUCGGAAUUACUGGGCGUAAAGCGCACGUAGGCGGAUACUUAAGUUAGGGGUGAAAUCCCAGAGCUCAACUCUGGAACUGCCUUUAAUACUGGGUAUCUCGAGUCCGGAAGAGGUGAGUGGAAUUCCGAGUGUAGAGGUGAAAUUCGUAGAUAUUCGGAGGAACACCAGUGGCGAAGGCGGCUCACUGGUCCGGUACUGACGCUGAGGUGCGAAAGCGAGGGGAGCAAACAGG
rnacentral:rRNA from 1 species